rnacentral:rRNA from 1 species
GAUGAACGCUGGCGGCGUGCCUAAUACAUGCAAGUAGAACGCUGAAGGAAGGAGCUUGCUCUUUCCGGAUGAGUUGCGAACGGGUGAGUAACGCGUAGGUAACCUGCCUGGUAGCGGGGGAUAACUAUUGGAAACGAUAGCUAAUACCGCAUAACAGUAGAUGUUGCAUGAUAUCUACUUAAAAGGUGCAAUUGCACCACUACCAGAUGGACCUGCGUUGUAUUAGCUAGUUGGUGAGGUAACGGCUCACCAAGGCGACGAUACAUAGCCGACCUGAGAGGGUGAUCGGCCACACUGGGACUGAGACACGGCCCAGACUCCUACGGGAGGCAGCAGUAGGGAAUCUUCGGUAAUGGACGGAAGUCUGACCGGGCAACGCCGCGUGAGUGAAGAAGGUUUUCGGAUCGUAAAGCUCUGUUGUAAGAGAAGAACGAGUGUGAGAGUGGAAAGUUCACACUGUGACGGUAUCUUACCAGAAAGGGACGGCUAACUACGUA